CACGUCAGAGCGCUUUGUUGACGUGAACACAAAUCGCGCUUACGUUGACGCUAUUUGUUGCCACGUCAGCAAAGCGUGCUGACGUGU
rfam:Gossypium hirsutum cultivar TM-1 chromosome 19, whole genome shotgun sequence